UGUAAAACCUAGCAAAGUCAUCUUCGAAAUCAUUAGACUGAAUUAAAAGUUCACAUAUAGCUUGGUCCCUACACAAUUCUGGUUUCUUUCAGCUCUUUUGCCAUCCAGAACAAAUCAGUCCCCAGUGCAGGAGCCCUAGAGGCGCUGGCGGCAGAGCCUGCUUGCCUUCAGGGCGCUUACCACACCUCUAAAGGGGCCAGAGCAGGCAAAGAGGCCACCGGCCGCAGGACUGCUUUCGACCCCCGAGUUGAUGGAGUGGGCACGACUUCAGCAGGGGAGAACAGGGCACAGGACUCGGCGGGCUCUCACUGCCCCUUUAUCUUCAAGACUGCACGUACCCUCUCCCUUCCUAAGUGCACACAAAUAGUGACUGAAAAUGGAUCGAAAGCCAAUAAUCGACAUAGCAAGGCUACAGGGACAGACACGCAAGAAUCCACAGCUUUGCGUGCGUGCGCCCGCAGGACAGGAGUUCCAGAAUCCAGAUGUCUCAAACGAAGGUGUUGGAGAGGCUCAGUGCCCCUGAAGACUCAGCAGAGACCCUUUCUUGCCUCUUCCUAGCUGCCAGAAGCUGUUGGUAUUCCUGGACCUGGGCUACAUCGCUCCAAUUUCUGCCUCUAUCUUUGCAUGAUUCUCUUGCCUCUGUGUGUCUCUAAAUCCCCUUCUCUUGGUGAGGACAAGAAUCACUUUGGAUGCGGGACUCACCGUUAUGAAAGUGAGUCUUAACUUGAAAGCAUUAAAGUCACAUUCAUAGGUGGAGGUGGAAUUAGGGCAUGAAUUUAUCUUUUAGGGGGAUACAGCUCCAUCCACUACAGUAUCCCAUUUCAUAAUAACCAGCUGAUGCGUUCUUCUGAAAGGAGAUAAUGGCCUGGGGAUGUAGAGCAAAUGCUUAGUGUGCUCAUGGCCCUCGGCUUAACACACCACACACACACUGAAAGAGAGAGAGAGGGAGAGACAAUGAUGUCACAUUUGUACAGUUAUUUAACACUGCCCUGGAAGUUCACACCGAAGCAAUAAAAUAUAAAACAAAACAAAACCAUCUGCACUAUAUGCAGAAAUACAAAGGAGGCUUCCCAGAACAGUAACAAUAAUCACAGGAAACCACAGAAAAGCAUGUGUUUAUGGAGAAUCGACUGUGCACUUAGCCUGGUUCUUCAAAAAGUGGGGUGUGUAAGAUGACUCAGUUAUGAAGUGUGAUUUCAGGGUUUCCACCCCAGGCACACCCGGCCUUCUUCCGGUGGUGUCCACUUGCCAGGGCUCCUAGUGAGUCUCCCUGUAAACCUUACUGGUAGCUGUAAACACAACUGAGAGAUCCGUGAUUCUCUUUCCUUCUGAUUGCACCUGUGGUCCCAAACUGGUCCAAACUGGUCCUGGUGGCUAACAGGAGUGACUGCAUUGGUUUUUGGAGAAGGCUAUUUGCUAGCCAGAAGUCAAGAGCUGUAGGAAAUGCAGACUCUAAAAAAGCUGCGACCUUUGGCCAACUUUCCUGGCCGCUCUGCUUAAGUUUUGGCUUCACUUCCAGCUGAACAAGAUUUGGGGAACUGACACAGGGAAAUGAGAAGGAAGAGAAAGUCAACUUUAGAUUUUGAGCCAGUGGUUUACUUGUUUUCCUUACAUACAAAAAACAAAAGAUAGAACCGAGGAAGCAAGACAGGAAAUGAAACAACUUUAGUAGAACAAGCAAAGAAGAUACGAAUGACUACUUUUCAAACUGGUGAUUGCCACAGAACAUGAAACAAAACCAUUUCUAAGACUUUUCAUCAAUGAAGGCUACCAACACCUUUUCUUUCUUAAAUUUUAAUUUUUUAAAAGUCCAUGCAGGGCCUGGCCCUGAAUCAAGGCUGGCAGCUUCCUGACGCUGUUGAUUUCAAGCAGGAGCCUAAUGAGAUGUCUUUUUAUGGUGUGUUGGCCAUUUCAGAACUUGGGCAGUGAAAUGGUCAAUUCAUUAGAAACAGCUUGAAGCAAGCCCCCACUCCUACCCCGAGUGGCUGCGAGUAUGGCAGGCUACACCUGCCCAGGACGGGAGCCACCAGCAUUUACUGGGACCCACGCCAUGCUGGGACUUGGAGCUCCAGGAAACCUGGCAACCCCUCCCAACUCCCUGUUUUGUUUUGUUGAACUUCAAUAUACAUGAAAGUAUGCUCAGCUAUUUUGAAGAGAACGAGAACCUCUAUGACAGCCAUUAGUGACUUCCCUAUUGUCUGGCUUUGAAGACCUAAAAUGCCUUCCUCAUUCUGUUCGGAUCAGUUUUAUACUAUGUUGUUUUGUAUGAAUUCUCUGUAUGCGAAGACAUGGACAACUAUUUGGAAGAAAAAAAGAGACAAUAUGAUAGAUAGUAAAGAUCUCAGGUCAUCUAGCUUUGAAAUUUAUAUCUCUUAUGCUACUUUCUUAUGUCCUAUUUUGUUCUGUUUUGUUGUGUUUAAUUUUACCCCCUUUAAAAAAAUCUAACAAAACACAACAUAUUUUAAUGGAAAAAAAAAGUCCAUGCAGUGUAAGGUAUUUCCGUUUUGAGUCUUUGUGUAACAUUCCUUAACCAUUCUUUAACUUCAUUUGAUCCAAGUGGGACUGUAAAUACAGUGGCUGCCCCAAUGCUAAACUAGGGUAAAUGGGAGCAAAAAAAUGGAAAAUAUUUUAGAAAACAAAGCUCUAAGCCAAAUAGGGCAAAGAUUAAGAUCCAUGGGACAUGGCUCUGAAUAUUUGUGAGUAAUCCGCCCAUAAUCCUUAGAAAUAGAUAUUGCUCGUGCAAAUAAGAUGGAAACAUUUGGGUGGAUUUUUCUGUCACAUAUGGCAACGAAGCCUGUGAGAAGACUCAGUGCUGUUACAAGGGUUGUGGAUGCAUCACAUUAACAAUGAGAGGGAAUGAAGUGCAUUGGUUGGAGGACUAAGCCUCAUUUGCUACUAAAAAUCACAGUUUUCCGUUUCCUCUGUAUUGCUAGGGAUGGCGCUAGGCAAGGAGUCUUCCACUGUACUCAGCCCCUGUGAAAAACGUAGGCUGUGAUUCAGCAGCUGAGAUGGGUUCUAGAAUUGUUUCUACCAAACCUCCAGAGGGUAAUGCUGUUCUUGCUCUAUGCACGCCCAAAGAGGAUGUACAGCCUUCAGUUUCGCCCAUUAAGAAAAUUCUAGCACUGACCGGGCAUGGUGGCAUAUACUGCAAUAUGCUCCCAGCACUUGGGAGGCUGAGGCAGGAGAUCACUAUGACUUUGAGACCAGCCUGGGCUACAUAGUGAACUCAAGACCAGCCUGAACUACACAAUGAGACUUUGUCUCAAAAAAAAAAAAACCAAAGAUCCUAACACUGUAUUUAUUGGUGUGGGCUUUGUCUCACAAAGCCUGGCUAGUAAACAGUUUUGACUGUUGCCACACUUGGAGUGAAUACAUUUGGCUAGUAAACAGUUUUGACUGUUGCCACACUUGGAGUGAAUACAUUUGGAAUGUAUUCAUGAGAUGCAAAGUUACACCCCUGGGAGCAGAGACCUGAGGCUGAGUUUGCAGAUGUCACCAUGCCUGGCAGAGUUCUGAAUUCCCUCCUUUUCCAGUUUCCUCCAGCCUCUCACUCCCACCCGGAUCCACAGAUCUGAUUCUGUGGGUUUUAAUAGCUGCUACCUCUCUUGGGGCUGGGGAUUUAGCUCAGCGGCAUAAGCGCUUGCCUUGCAAGCAAGCAGUCGUGAGUUCGAUCCCUGGUACCGAUAAAAAACGAAAAAGACCAAAAAAAAGCUGCUGUCUGUCCCUCUUGUGCAGCCCUAAGGAGAUGUGAAUGAUGUUCUUGGUCAUUUUGUCAGCGUGCUGCAGUAUCCUGACUCUGUGACACUGCCUUCCCCUUUUUACUCUCAAGCAAACAAAGCCCUGAUAUAAGUCGGUUUUAGAAACAGGUAAAAUAGGGGCUGGGGAUUUAGCUCAGCAGUAUAAGCACCUGCCUUGCAAGCAGGCAGUUGUGAGUUCGAUCCAUGGUACCGGUAAAAAGGAAAAGACAGAAAAAAAAAAAAAAAGAAACAGGUAAAAUAGCUGGGGUGUAGCUCCCAGUGGGUGCUUAGCAUGUGUAAGGACCUGUGUUCAAUUCCUGGCACCAGAAAAAAGAAAAAAAAAAAAAAAAAGGGAGAAUACAUGUUUAUUAUAGUCUCUAUUGUUUCCUAGGUUUAUCUAGGAUUUCAAGUGAGAAAAAAAAAUAAAGCACUGCAUCAGUUUCCUCUUCUUCAUCUCUAACCAAAAGCCACAGCCCUCCCCUGAGAUCUGAGGGGAAGAGGAGUAAAGUGGGGCGGAGGGGGUAGCUCAGGAAUAGAGCCCUUGCUUAGCAAGUAUAAGGCCCUGGGUUCAAUCCUCGGUAACGCAAAACAAAACAAAAAGAGAAAGCAGGGCUAGUCCAAAAUGUGUCAUGGAGUUGAUACCUCAGCUUCAGCGUGAGGCAGGGCCAAAGUCCUUUCCCAUUGCACCCACGGUUUCUGAGCCUUUUUUUGUUUGUUUGUUUCUGAGUCUUUUCAUGCUCAGUGUCUGCAUCUGCAAAUGAGAACCUACUUAAGCAACUGCCAAAAUAGCCACCCUCCUUAUGUAUUAAAAGAAAAUGCCCCUGUGGCUAGAGGUGACCAAGGAGGACACAGCUCUGACCUUGACGGGGCUCAGGAAGUGUGUGGAGCUGGGCCACCGUUCUUCCCGCUGCAAGGGGCUGCGGUGCCUGAAGAAGUUGCAUGACUACUUCAUACAUUGAGCACUCAAAGAAGAAAGAAUGAGCUUGGUGACAUCACUGCCCACUGGACACACAGUGAAACAGACUGGCCUCCUCGGUGAGCAGGAGAGACACAACCUGCUGCCCUGAUCGCUGGCCUCAGGCUUUUCUGUUACCCAUGACACAAUCCUGAUCCCUGACUCACAGCUCUUGAGGAGAAAGGAAGUGGGAUCCUGGGUUUGAAUGGUGAACUGGGCUGGGCCUGGCGGGUGAGAAGCCUGCAUCAGUGUUAGCAAUUAUUACCCUCCCCCAAGCCCUCAAGCUAGGAAUUGAACCCAGGACUUCAUACAUGCUGGGUACUUACCGCAAGCUCAGUCCUUCUCCCCUUUUAUUUUUUGUAAUGGGGAUUGAACUUGGGGCCUUUUCAUUGAAUUAUAACCCCACCUUUUAUCUGGGGACAGUCACUAAGUCUCUAAAUUGCCCAGGCCAGCCAUGAACUUGUGAUCCUCCUGCCUCAGCUUCACAGAGUGCAGGCUGUAGAUGAUUACCACCAUCCCUGGUUCUCCCUAUUUUUUCCCACUCCACUUCAUUUCUACAUCUUUCAGCCAAACUGAAGCAUUCAUUGCAGGAUUUUUGGAUUACAAUCAACCCAAAAGUACUUUAGUUAAACCUUGAAAGGUGGAUUAUUUUAGGUAGGCAGAGGGAGAAAAUACUAUCAACACAGACAGAGAUGGAAGAAAAUGGAGUACAGCUUUGGUGGGUUUUAUUUUUUUCCUGACUGAGAAAGAGGGCACUAAUGAAUUUGUAAUGUAUUUAAAUUUGAAAAAUAAUAUUUUUAGCUGGAUGUGGUGGUGCAUGCCUGUAAUCCCAGCACUCGGGAGGCUGAGGUGGGAGGAUCCUUGUGAGUUCAAAGCCAGCCUGAAGUGCAUAGUGAAAGUCUGCUCAAAAAAACAAACAAACAAACAACAACAGCCUGAAUUUCUCACUAUUAUGCUUUUUUCCUUUCUUUUUCUUUUACACAGAGUGUUUCUAUGCAGUUUAGGCUGAUUUUUGAACUCAGUAGGUAGCCCAGGCUGGCCUCAAGCUCACACUGAUCCUCCUGCCUCAGGCUCCCCAGUGCUGGGAUAGCAGGCAUGUGUCAAAAACUAUUACCAUUUUUAAAGAAAAGUAGUAUUUAAAAAGAGCCAGGAUACUUGAUUCUUUCACUGCUUGGUGGUGUUAUUCAACUUCUCCAGAACUUAGAGUGCUCCACUGUACUAUGAAGUCAAAGAAGCAGAUGCUCUCAAAUAUUGGUCCAUAAAUUUCCCAGACAGAUGUAAACAGAACAUCUGCCUCCAAUCGAGAGGGCGCUGACCGCACACAGAAUAUAUAGUCAUGUCUAGCUUGGCAAGUCAGUGAGCUCACAAAGCAGGAGCAAUUUGCAGGCUGCAAAGCCCCUUUUCUAAACUACUGGCUUUAUAGUAAGUUAAGCCCUGAGGUAAAGAGCAAAAAAAAAAAAAAAAAAAAAAAAAAAAAAAAAAAAACAGAAACAAGAGACAAGAGUCCUGCGGAAACCCGCGAGAGUUGGACUCCCAUCCUUUUGUCUACAAGAGCCCAGUCCGCUGCUGUGGGGGCCGAGCCUGGGCACUGAAGUCUGCACACAGCUCAACAUUAGGGGGUGAAGGGGCUGGAUGGAAAAACUGAGGCCCACUUUCAAGAUGGAGUUGCUUUGGCUUUGGUUUGCCGGACAAACAUCCAUGCUGCUUCUACAACUGUUAAGUUCCAUGGAAAUUAUAAAAUGUUCUAGCAACCUAAA